GUAUAAGUAUUACAUGAUACCUGUAUUGGUAGUGGAAGCACUUGCUGAAAAAAAAAAGAAACAAGCUACAUUGACUGACAUAGAGGUAAAUAACGUUGACUGGAAGGACAAAGAGUCACUGGUUAUGGAUAAACCGCGCCCUUUAACUGAGGACGCCCGCGUGGUCUUUAUCUCAGCGUACGGAGACACAUCAAGUCGACCAUAAAUCCCGAUGUUUUGGAUGGGAAAAAAGUGCCUGAACCUUUCUCUCGCUAUGCUCCUGAUAACGUUUUCUCCAACAGCCUUUCGGGACAUGUUUCACCAAUAAACAAUGUCACCAUCCUUUGUUUAAAGUUCAAGAAGUACUCGACUCUGCAUCGUGUUUAGGCCAAGUCAGUUUCUUUCAAUUUUUUUCAGAUUUGAAACGUAUUAUUUGUUCAGUUCUAAGACAAAAACGGUCAUGUAUCUGCAGCGUUUAGAAUAAAUUGCUUUGCCUUUAAUAAACCAUUGAGGUGAAUUCAUAUGUAAAAA